rnacentral:rRNA from 1 species
AACGUAGGGGGCAAGCGUUGUCCGGAAUGACUGGGCGUAAAGGGCGCGUAGGCGGCCUAAUAAGUCUGGAGUGAAAGCCCCACUUUUAAGGUGGGAAUUGCUUUGGAAACUAUUGGGCUUGAGUACGGGAGAGGAAAGUGGAAUUCCCAGUGUAGCGGUGAAAUGCAUAGAGAUUGGGAGGAACACCAGUGGCGAAGGCGACUUUCUGGACCGUAACUGACGCUGAGGCGCGAAAGCGUGGGGAGCAAACAGG